GUGGGGAAUAUUGGACAAUGGGCGAAAGCCUGAUCCAGCCAUGCCGCGUGUGUGAAGAAGGUCUUCGGAUUGUAAAGCACUUUAAGUUGGGAGGAAGGGCAGUAAGUUAAUACCUUGCUGUUUUGACGUUACCGACAGAAUAAGCACCGGCUAACUUCGUGCCAGCAGCCGCGGUAAUACGAAGGGUGCAAGCGUUAAUCGGAAUUACUGGGCGUAAAGCGCGCGUAGGUGGUUUUGUAAGUUGGAGGUGAAAUCCCCGGGCUCAACCUGGGAACUGCCUCCAAAACUGCAUGACUAGAGUACGGUAGAGGGUAGUGGAAUUUCCUGUGUAGCGGUGAAAUGCGUAGAUAUGCGGAGGAACACCAGUGGCGAAGGCGACUACCUGGACUGAUACUGACACUGAGGUGCGAAAGCGUGGGGAGCAAACAGGAUUAGAAACCCCGGUAGUCC
rnacentral:rRNA from 1 species